GCUACUCUAAUGUGACGAUCACUAUCUUCGUCUUCUCCCAAACCCUAAUUCACACCGACUGUUAGAGCGCAGCCGCAACACUGAAGCCAGAGCCUGCAACAAUGGUGACCUCUCAUGUCCUGCUGCAGAUUUAAAAUCCGGUCGUUUUCAGAAGACAGUGGUCACACGUCUACUUCAUUUUUGGGAAGCAAGAGAUGUGAAGAAAGGAAGAAGCUAAUAAGGAUUGAUGUGAUCCUGAUUUAUGAAAAGGCUGUCCUUCUCAUCUUCCCUCGCCUUUCUUCCCACUACCGCUUCAAACGGAUAAUUUUACAGAAACAUAACACUUUUUUUCAUUUUUUUGAAUCUCUAAGAAAUAAAGGAAUCUUUGUGAUAUACAAUUGUGAUUGAUCUUUUACAGGCUAGGUUAUUUGCAUUUAGAUAGAAUCGUUCAUUGUUAUGUGAAACCAGAGUACAUGUUUUGGAUUAGAAGAGGAGUCUACGGCUUGCUGAUUUUGGAGUGGCUAGGAUUGAAGCUCAGAAUCCAAACUGUUACUCUUGGAUGCGUAGCUCCAGGGAAUCUGAGACUGUAAAUACCGAGAUGCUGUCAGACGUCAUUAUUGAGCAUAAUGGAGAAAUUUUGGGAUGCAAAUCAUGAGAAACUACCGCAGUUGCAGAAAGUUGUGAAGAUGCUUGAAGGAGUCGACACCUCUCAAGGCGGCCGAAUGAUUCCGGAAGAUCAGAGACCUGCUGUUUCUUUAUUGUCUCCGGUCAUAGUCCUUGGAUUUACAUUUUUACCACUACCCAUCUUAUUAUCAUUAUUACCUUUUUACCUUGCAUUUUUGAGCAAUGCUCUGUUUUUCCCCUCUGUCCAUUAAAAUCGUUAUAAAAAGAAUAUAUGAUGCAGAUUUAUUUUCGUGUGAACAUGAAAAUUGAUGUUUA